CCUGCACACUAUUAAAACUUGGAGCUGAUGUUGGCUCUCGAGUGUCGGAAGUGUGCUACAGUAACACGGCAGGAUUUUCGCUGACACCGUUAGAGCUUCUGGCUCUGUGAGCGGAGUUUGAUAGUAAUCGCUGCCACAUGU